AUGAUACUUCUGUCCAGCCACAGCCCUGUAAGACGCAGGAUCACGCAAUGGGGGCAGCCCGUGGAGAACCCUCGGGAGGUGCGAUUCCUAUGA
rnacentral:ncRNA from 1 species